rnacentral:rRNA from 1 species
UACAGAGGUCUCAAGCGUUGUUCGGAUUCAUUGGGCGUAAAGGGUGCGUAGGUGGCGCCGUAAGUCGGGUGUGAAAUUUCGGAGCUUAACUCCGAAACUGCAUUCGAUACUGCGGUGCUUGAGGACUGGAGAGGCGACUGGAAUUCAUGGUGUAGCAGUGAAAUGCGUAGAGAUCAUGAGGAAGACCAGUGGCGAAGGCGGGUCUCUGGACAGUUCCUGAACACUGAGGCACGAAGGCCAGGGGAGCAAACGGG